rnacentral:rRNA from 1 species
CCUACGGGAGGCAGCAGUGAGGAAUAUUGGUCAAUGGACGAGAGUCUGAACCAGCCAAGUAGCGUGAAGGAUGACUGCCCUAUGGGUUGUAAACUUCUUUUAUAAAGGAAUAAAACGAGGCACGUGUGCCUUUUUGCAUGUACUUUAUGAAUAAGGAUCGGCUAACUCCGUGCCAGCAGCCGCGGUAAUACGGAGGAUCCGAGCGUUAUCCGGAUUUAUUGGGUUUAAAGGGAGCGUAGAUGGGUUGUUAAGUCAGUUGUGAAAGUUUGCGGCUCAACCGUAAAAUUGCAAUUGAUACUGGCAGUCUUGAGUACAGUUGAGGUAGGCGGAAUUCGUGGUGUAGCGGUGAAAUGCUUAGAUAUCACGAAGAACCCCGAGUGCGAAGGCGGCUUACCGGUGCACAACUGACGCUCAGGCACGAAAGCGUGGGUAUCGAACAGGAUUAGAUACCCCAGUAGUC